rnacentral:rRNA from 1 species
UACGAAGGUCCCAAGCGUUAUCCGGAUUUAUUGGGUUUAAAGGGUGCGUAGGCGGAUUAUUAAGUCAGUGGUGAAAGCUCUCAGCCUAACUGAGAAAUUGCCAUUGAUACUGAUGAUCUUGAGUACAUUUGAGGUAGGCGGAAUGUGUCAUGUAGCGGUGAAAUGCUUAGAUAUGACACAGAACACCGAUUGCGUAGGCAGCUUACUAAACUGUAACUGGACGCUGAGGCACGAAAGCGUGGGGAGCAAACAGG